AACGAACGCUGGCGGCAGGCCUAACACAUGCAAGUCGAGCGAGGACUUCGGUUCUAGCGGCGGACGGGUGCGUAACGCGUGGGAAUGUGCCCUUCUCUACGGAAUAGCCCUGGGAAACUGGGAGUAAUACCGUAUACGCCCUACUGGGGAAAGAUUUAUCGGAGAAGGAUCAGCCCGCGUUGGAUUAGGUAGUUGGUAGGGUAAUGGCCUACCAAGGCGACGAUCCAUAGCUGGUUUGAGAGGAUGAUCAGCCACACUGGGACUGAGACACGGCCCAGACUCCUACGGGAGGCAGCAGUGGGGAAUCUUAGACAAUGGGGGCAACCCUGAUCUAGCCAUGCCGCGUGAGUGAUGAAGGCCUUAGGGUUGUAAAGCUCUUUCAGCUGGGAAGAUAAUGACGGUACCAGCAGAAGAAGCCCCGGCUAACUCCGUG
rnacentral:rRNA from 1 species